CCUACGGGUGACUGCAGUGAGGAAUAUUGGUCAAUGGACGAGAGUCUGAACCAGCCAAGUAGCGUGAAGGAUGACUGCCCUAUGGGUUGUAAACUUCUUUUAUAUGGGAAUAAAACGUUCCACGUGUGGGAUUUUGUAUGUACCAUAUGAAUAAGGAUCGGCUAACUCCGUGCCAGCAGCCGCGGUAAUCCGGAGGAUCCGAGGGUUAUCCGGAUUUAUUGGGUUUAAAGGGAGCGUAGGUGGAUUGUUAAGUCAGUUGUGAAAGUUUGCGGCUCAACCGUAAAAUUGCAGUUGAAACUGGCAGUCUUGAGUACAGUAGAGGUGGGCGGAAUUCGUGGUGUAGCGGUGAAAUGCUUAGAUAUCACGAAGAACUACGAUUGCGAAGGCAGUUCACUGGACUGCAACUGACACUGAGGCUCGAAAGUGUGGGUAUCAAACAGGAUUAGAUACCCGUGUAGUC
rnacentral:rRNA from 1 species